rnacentral:rRNA from 1 species
GAUGAACGCUAGCGGCAGGCUUAACACAUGCAAGUCGAGGGGCAACACGGGUAGCAAUACCUGGUGGCGACCGGCGCAAGGGUGCGUAACGCGUGAGCAACAUACCCUAUACAGGGGGAUAAUCCAGGGAAACUUGGUCUAAUAUCCCAUAGGAUUUACAGAUGUCAUCAUCUAUAAAUUAAAGCUUCGGUGGUAUAGGAUUGGCUCGCGUGACAUUAGCUAGAUGGUGGGGUAACGGCCUACCAUGGCCAUGAUGUCUAGGGGUUCUGAGAGGAAGACCCCCCACACUGGUACUGAGACACGGACCAGACUCCUACGGGAGGGCAGCAGUGAGGAAUAUUCGGUCAAUGGGCGGAAGCCUGAACCAGCCAUGCCGCGUGCAGGAUGACGGGCCCUACGGGUUGUAAACUGCUUUUCCCCGGGGCGAAUAACCCCUCGGAGGGGAGUGCGGUACCGGGGAGUAAGAUCGGCUAACUCCGUGCCAGCAGCCGCGGUAACUAGUCUACG